rnacentral:lncRNA from 1 species
ACUAGGCCCACCAAGCUCAUUUCAACCUCCUCUACAGUCUAUUGUCUCUUGUUAGGCAUCUACUCUUCCAGUUUCGCCCCUAAGAUGCCUUUUCUACUACUCUCUAUCUAAUUUUUAUCUCAUCAAUAUCAGACUAAUGACAAUCCCUUCACAGAAAAUUCUUUCCUUGGACAAACGGCCAACUAUCUCUCCAAUACCGGUGGCUGUUUAAUUUUAAAACAUAACAUAGUGCCUUAACUGUCUAGCCAUAUAUAACCAACCUUCUCAACAUUUUAAUAUUUAAAAUUAAAGUGAGCAAUAGGGCCAAGUGCUGAGACAGUUCCUUAUAUUAACACAAGUGAGUUUAAAUUAGGUAAUAAUUCAUUUAUUUAUAUCAAAGAAAAUAAGCUUAGGCUAGUUGAAUUUUAAAUUUGGUCAUAAAUAAUUUCCAUUGUACCUAGGCAUUCUGAGGGACUUUAUUGAAUUAAUCAAAUACUCGUGCUUGAAUUUUCCAUGGAGGUUUUAACUAUUAUCUAAGUACUCUCCAUCACAAAAAACAAAGAGAUCUUUAAUCUCUUUGUUUCAUGAUAGAUGUACUUCACAUUAGUGGUUGCAAUGGGUUGGGCUGGAUCAGAUCAAGUUAGGAAAACAACUUAUGGAAUUUGGC